rnacentral:rRNA from 2 species
CCUACGGGAGGCAGCAGUGGGGAAUAUUGGACAAUGGGGGGAACCCUGAUCCAGCCAUGCCGCGUGUGUGAAGAAGGCCUUUUGGUUGUAAAGCACUUUAAGCGAGGAGGAGGAGCUCUAGAUUAAUACUCUAGAUGCUUGGACGUUACUCGCAGAAUAAGCACCGGCUAACUCUGUGCCAGCAGCCGCGGUAAUACAGAGGGUGCAAGCGUUAAUCGGAUUUACUGGGCGUAAAGCGUGCGUAGGUGGUCUUUUAAGUCGGAUGUGAAAUCCCUGAGCUUAACUUAGGAAUUGCAUUCGAUACUGGGAGACUAGAGUAUGGGAGAGGAUGGUAGAAUUCCAGGUGUAGCGGUGAAAUGCGUAGAGAUCUGGAGGAAUACCGAUGGCGAAGGCAGCCAUCUGGCCUAAUACUGACACUGAGGUACGAAAGCAUGGGGAGCAAACAGGAUUAGAUACCCUUGUAGUC